UUAUAUAAAAAAAAAUCCGUGUUAGGGUUCAGCUGUAACAAACACCUUCUGCGGUUCUGCCACCACCUCAGCUUCCAUAACUGCAAUAUCACCGGCCAACGGCCACCAUAUCGCCGUCGACCAUCGCCACGGGCUCAGCUCUAGUUGUGGUAACUAGACAACGUCUCAUCUUUCCCCUGAAUACUGGACAUGAGGACAUUGUUGGUGAACCAGAUAUUGACAAACCAAACCAAGUGACAAUUUUCGAGUCUUCUGGCAAGCUCCUAUGGAAUCUCAAACACAUAAUGAGGAACAAGGUGUAGAACAUCUCUUCAGACGCUUGCAGGAUUUCCCAGAUGAUGCGUCGCUGCAUUUUGAUAUUGGCUUAUUCUUAUGGGAAAAAGGAGGAGAAGCGAAUGGAUCCGCAGAAAAAGCGGCUGAACAUUUCAUUGAAUCAGCCAAAUUGAACCCCAAGAAUGGAGAACCUUUCAAAUAUCUUGGUCAUUAUUAUGGCCGCAUUUCCAUUGAUACUCAGAGAGCCCUUAAGUGUUAUCAGCGAGCUGUUGCUCUCAAUCCUGAUGAUUCUGAUUCUGGGGAAGCUCUUUGCAAUUUACUAUACCAAGGAGGAAAGGAUAGUUUGGAGGCAGCAGUAUGUCGUGAAGCUUCUGAAAAGUCACCAAGGGCCUUUUGGGCAUUCCGUAGAUUGGGUUUCCUGCAGGUUCAUCAGAAGAAAUGGUCUGAAGCUGUUCAGAAUCUUCAACAUGCCAUACGAGGCUAUCCUACAUGUGCUGAACUGUGGGAAGCUUUGGGCCUUGCUUAUCAGCGACUGGGCAGGUAUACUGCAGCCAUAAAGUCUUAUGGCCGUGCCAUCGAGUUGGAUGAUAAGAUGGUCUUUGCUUUGGUUGAAAGCGGAAAUAUCUCAUUGACACUUGGUUCAUUUAGGAAGGGAGUUGAACAAUUUCGACAAGCUUUGGAGAUUUCAUCACAUUGUGUGCCUGCACAAUAUGGGCUUGCUUUGGGGCUGCUUUGUUUAGCAAAAGAUUGCAUGAACCUGGGAGCAUUUAAGUGGGGGGUUUCUUUAUUAGAGGAAGCAUCUGAGGUUGCAAGAGCAAGUGCUUAUUCUGUUAGGAAUGUCUCAUGUAUUUGGAAACUAUAUGCUGACGUUCAGCUUGCAUAUGCAAGAUGUUAUCCUUGGAUUGAGGAGGUCCAAGAAUUGGAAGCUAAUAAGGAAGCUUUCAGUGCUUCCAUCAUUUCUUGGAGGAGAACCUGUCUUUCGGCGGCAAGACUUGCUAGGUUUUCGUAUCAACGAGCCUUGCACUUGUGUCCAUGGCAAGCAAACAUUUAUGCAGAUAUUGCUGUAACUUCAGAUCUUAUUACCUCAUUGGACAAGGAUUAUGAACGAGACUUAGAUGCAUGUAGGCAGCUGCCAGAGAAAAUGUGUGUGGGAGCUUUGCUGCUUGAAGGUGACAAUUAUGAGUUUUGGGUGACAUUGGGAUGUUUGUCUGAUCAAAAUGCACUAAAUCAACAUGCUCUAAUCAGAGGAUUGCAGUUGAAUGUAUCUCUAGCUGUUGCUUGGGGAUAUCUUGGGAAGCUUUAUAGUAAAAUGAGCAAAAAGAAAUUGGCACGGCAAAUGUUUGAUCGUGCUAGAAGUAUUGAUCCUAGCCUUGCUUUGCCAUGGGCAAGCAUGUCAGCUGAUUGUUGUGUGAGGGAGUCUGCUCCCGAUGAGGCGUUUGAGAGCUGUUCCCAAGCAGUGCAGAUGAUGCCUUUAGCUGAAUUCCAAAUUGGGCUCACUAAGCUUGCUAUGCUGAGUGGCCAUCUUUCAUCUACACAGGUUUUUGGAGCUAUUCAGCAAGCUGUGCAGCGAUCUCCUCACUAUCCCGAAUCACAUAAUUUACAUGGUCUGGUCUGCGAGUCUCGAAAAGAUUACAGAUCUGCUGCUAUUUCUUACAGGAUAGCCCUCCAUGCCAUUAGCAUUGCCUCGUUAGAUAAUCAAAACUCACAGAUAAAAGAUGUAUCAAUUAAUUUGGCGAGAUCACUUUGUAAGGCUGGGAAUGCUGUUGAUGCUAUACAGGAAUGUGAAAAUUUGAGGAAAGAAGGAAUGCUUGACUUCGAAGUUUUUCAAGUAUAUGCAAUCUCGUUGUGGCAACUUGGUAAAAAUGAUUUAGCACUCUCAAUAGUCAGAAGUCUUGCAGCAAAUGUUUCUUCUAUGGAAAAGACAGCCAUGGAAAUCUCCGUUAGUUUCAUCUUUAGAUUAUUAUACUACAUCAGUGGACUAGAUGCAGUCAUAACCAACAUUAUGAAAAUGCCAAAGGAGCUUAUUCAAAGUUCAAAAGUUAAUUUUGUUAUGUCUGCUAUCGAUGCUCUUGAUGGACACAAUCGUCUUGGAUUUCUUGUCUCAAGUAACCUAUAUUUUCUCAAAGAUCAUGAUGAAAUUGACAGGGUGCACUUUUUAAUAGCACUUGGUAAACUGGUGAAAAAUGGGCAUGAUGGCUUCCUUGCAGUUCAGAGUGGAAUUGCCUACCUCAGAAGGAUUCUGCACAUGUUCCCUAACUGUAGUUUGAUAAGGAACCUUGUUGGCUAUCUCUCACUAUCUGGUAAAGAGUCGAACAGUUGCCAUCUGGCUACAAGGUGUUGUAAACUGGACCAUCUUGACCUUUCUGAUAAAGAAGGUUUAAAAUCAGCUUCUGAUAUUCAUGGUGCUGCAGUAGUUGCCUGCUAUGCCAAUGGGAACAGCAACCCAAAGUCUACUUUUCAAACUUGUACAAAUCAGUAUUCUAGAGGUCCUGCAACAAUCCGAUACCUGCAGAGAUACUUUCAUCAGAAACCAUGGAAUCAUGAUGCUCGGUACUUGCUUAUUCUUACCUAUUUCCAGAGGGCACGUGAAGAGAGAUUUCCUCAUCAGCUGUGUGUUAUUCUAAAUCGUCUAAUAUGUGUUGCUCUUUCAAAUGAAUUUUGUGGAAAGAAAGAAAUGUGCUAUGAAUAUAGACAAUUUCAACUUCUACUUUGUGCUUCUGAGAUCAGUUUACAAUGCGGGAAUCACAUCACCUCUAUAUCCCAUGCCCAAAAGGCCUCUGUACUCAUGCUUCCUGAUAAUUAUUUGUUCUUUGCCCACCUACUAUUGUGCCGUGUAUAUGCCAUAAAAGGUGAUCUUUUGAAUUGUAAGAAAGAGUAUAUGCGAUGCUUGGAGUUGAGGACAGAUUGCCAUAUUGGUUGGAUGUCUCUCAAACUUAUGGAAUGCCAUUAUCAAUUGCAAAUUGAUUCAAAUCUCAUUGAUUCGAACUUUGAAGAAUGCCUUAAAAAGGGUGCAAAUUCAUGGAAUAUGUGGAUAGCUGUGUAUAACCUGGUGAGGGGUUUGAUUUCCUUUCAUCAGAAGGAUUUAGUCUCAGCCGAAGAGCUCAUGCGAGAGGCUUGUUCAAUGGCAGGUUUUGAAAGCUGCCUUUUUCUAUGUCAUGGUGCUAUCUGCAUGGAGCUUGCCAGGCAGUGUGGCGGUUCGAUGCUCCUAUCAUGGGCUGUUGAUAGUCUUAACAGAUUUCAUGAGCUUUUGCCAAUCUCUUUGCCUCUUGCCUCCUUAUUGGUUGCUCAAGCAGAAGGAAGCCUCGGUGCAAAAGACAAAUGGGACAGAAGCAUUCGCCUUGAAUGGUAUUCCUGGCCAUCAGUAAUGAGGCCUGCAGAGCUCUACUUUCAAAUGCAUUUGGUUGUAAGGCAGUUAAAAGAUGGACCCAACGUCACAGGUAGAUUAGAGUCCUCUCAUAGUGCUUGGAGAUGGGUAAUUCGGGCAAUUCACAUGAACCCUUCUUGCAUGAGAUAUUGGAAGGUCUUACAGAAGCUUAUGGAGUAGAAAUGUAGAAUUGAAGUCGUUUCACCAUCCGGUGCUAGCGUGAUCUGCUACACGCCAUUUUCAUCAAUCCAGUUCUUAACUAUAGCCACUUUCACUGUUUAGCGUAAUCGAACCAGCCAGCAAAGUGUGAUGGGCCAUCUAUAGGUCUUAUGUUUCGAUGGGCCCUAUGGCCUAUGCAUCAGCCGGUUUUGGAAAUUAUCCAUUUUACAAAAAAGAUCGUCAAUUUUCUAAAGACUUUUCUGACCCUAGAAAAAAGUACACUGAAGACUUCGGAGUUUAGCUCGAGUUUUGAGUGUGAUGAUAGUAGCACUUUAAGUAGAGAGUGUUGCUUGUAAGUUGUAACCAAGAAAUCUAGUACAAAUGGUAUUGUUUUUAAGGUGUUUAAAUAGUAUGUUCUGGGUUCAAUUAUUGGUGACAAUGUGUAUAUUGAUUUUGUAGUCAGUUUUGUAAUCAUUGAAAAGUGAAUUUCGACAGGAUUAAAUAUUUAUUGUUGGCUAUUGACCGGUGGAUAUUUGGAGGUUAGCCUCUAUUGACAAAAGAAAGUGAAAUGUGUGGCUAUUUAUAUUCAUCUAAUCUUAUACACUACGUUAAACACAUCUCUUGGAGGUAAUGAUGAAUACGCAUUAUGCACAAAAUUAAGUACGCGAUAUUUCUCAGAAGUGAUACAUAGUCUUAAUUAUUAGGUAAAAAAAAUAAUAACAAAAAUGAUCACAUACAGAGAUAUACGAUUUUAUACGGCAAGUAUUUAUAUUUUAUGAAGUCUAAUACUGUUUGUUGAUUUUUUUGAAUGGAUAAACUGUGUACAAUAAAGUGUAUUCUUAGCAUGAGAGUUGGCAAACAAGUCCAUAUAUUUGCGCGUGAAACUGUGAAUGGCAACACUGUAUGGUACAGCUGAGCUUGGCAUUAUGUUAUGUAAAAUGGAUGUAUGAUUUGGUGAAGAACAAGUGUGCACUUUGCACUUUUUGGGCAUGGAAGUCUCGUAUAGCUUUAAGUCAUGAGAUUGAGACCUGCACUCAUCAUUGCUAUCAAUGCCACAUUGAGUAAGUGGGGAACUAGAAAGGGGAAAAGGAUAACCAAAAAAAAAAAAAAUUGGGGAUAAAUUGUGUUAUUUAUAUGCAUUUUCUUUUCAUUAAAUUCAAUGUGAAAUUCACAUAAAUUAAUUUUCUAUAAGAAAGAAAAUUGAUGUAAUACACUAAUAUUGGUCAUUGAAGAGAUUUACGUGUCUGUGGUGGCAGUAGCUUUUUGCAACAUGUGUUAUUUAUAUUCAUUCUCUUUUCUUUUACUUUUUUUAAAAAAAUAAAUUUACUUAUUCUCCCUUUUCAUUAAAUUCAAUGUGAAAUCCACAUAAAUUAAAUUGGUGUAAUGCACUAAUAUUAGUCAUUGAAGGGAUUUACGUGUCUGUGAUAGCAGUAGUUUUUUGCAGCUAGUGAAAAGCAUGAAGGACCAAUAGGAAAUUUUUUUGCAAUUUUUUAAUAACAAUAUUUAUCUUGUUAUUAUUGACUUAUUGUUACUAUAUCUUUUUCCUUUUUAUAUUAUGACAAUAAAUUGAUGUGAGAAGAAAAAUGACAUAAAAAUUUGUAACCUAAGUUAGGUUAAAAUAGACAAGGCAAAGUGGAAACAGGUAAGGUGAUGUUGAUGCAUUGCAUUGACUUUGAAGAAGCAUAAGCGUCAAGCGUAGCUACCAUGUGUAUUUGACCGCAAAGGUUAUGGAAUUGUUGGUAGUUGCAAACACUACACUCUACUUACUACUCAGUACUCACUUUCGUAACCUUAUCACUUUGCUUCUUUCCCUUACAUUCUCUCACUAACAUUUAUGGUUUGUUGUUGCUAUCAAUUUCAGAUUACCUUAUUAAAUUGUAAUUUGUGAUCAUCACCUACUUAUAGAUAAAAGAGUAAUUCUUGGCAUACAAGCGAUUAAGUCUCGUAAGCCUUACAAGUUUAAUUAAAACUAACGCUCAAAACACGCUUCGAACCAUUCUUCUUCCUCUUCGUCUUCUCCUUCUUCUUUUCUUUCGUUUCUUGCCUUCUCUUU